rnacentral:rRNA from 1 species
CCUACGGGUGACAGCAGUGGGGAAUAUUGGGCAAUGGGCGAAAGCCUGACCCAGCAACGCCGCGUGAAGGAAGAAUGCUUUCGGGUUGUAAACUUCUUUUGACAGGGAAGAGCAGAAGACGGUACCUGUCGAGUAAGCCACGGCUAACUACGUGCCAGCAGUCGCGGUAAUACGUAGGUGGCAAGCGUUGUACGGAUUUGCUGGGUGUAAAGGGCGUGUAGCCGGGCUGACAAGUCAGAUGUGAAAUCCGGGGGCUCAACCCCCGAACUGCAUUUGAAACUGUUGGUCUUGAGUAUCGGAGAGGCAGGCGGAAUUCCUAGUGUAGCGGUGAAAUGCGUAGAUAUUAGGAAGAACACCAGUGGCGAAGGCAGCCUGCUGGACGACAACUGACGGUGAGGCGCGAAAGCGUGGGGAGCAAACAGGAUUAGAUACCCCUGUAGUC